AGAACGAACGCUGGCGGCAGGCCUAACACAUGCAAGUCGAACGCUCGUAGCAAUACGGGAGUGGCGCACGGGUGAGUAACGCGUGGGCACCUGCCCGGUGGUUUGGGAUAACCGUGGGAAACUGCGGCUAAUACCGGAUACGCCCCUAGGGGGAAAGAUUUAUCGCCAUCGGAUGGGCCCGCGUAGGAUUAGCUAGUUGGUGAGGUAACGGCUCACCAAGGCUACGAUCCUUAGCUGGUCUGAGAGGAUGAUCAGCCACACUGGGACUGAGACACGGCCCAGACUCCUACGGGAGGCAGCAGUGGGGAAUAUUGGACAAUGGGGGCAACCCUGAUCCAGCCAUGCGCGUGAGUGAAGAAGGCCUUCGGGUUGUAAAGCUCUUUUGCGGGGACGAUGAUGACGGUACCCGCAGAAUAAGCCCGCGUAACUUACGUGCCAGCAGCCGC
rnacentral:rRNA from 1 species